CAAAUUCGGGCAGACAUAUUUGAUGCUAAAUUUUCUAUUUGUAAAAUUUCGUGUAAUUUUGUUUUCGAUUGUGAAGUGAGAACUAUUUUCUUAUUGAUAUAGGUGUUUGUGCGCGAUUCGAUGCGAAAUUUUAACCCGUUAACGAAACGAAAAAUAUAUAGUGUGCGAAUCGAUAAAGCGGUUUGCCAAAAGGAAGGUGAUUGUUGAAUAAAUAACAAUAAAACAUAUUUCUUCAAUUUUUGUAACAAAUAUGUAUUUUAAAUUACAAAUAUAUGUGUUUCUAAAAUGGAAAUGCUGCUGCAUGAGGAAUAUAUGAAUACAUGUAAAAUUCUAUUUUCUAUUAUCGUUUUUCUGUGUCACGUUUCUUUCCAAUACUUAACCUGUCUGAAAAAAAAAUUUUUUAUGUAAUAAAUUUUUUACAAAUUAAAUUUACAAAUAUAAAAAAAA